AUACGUAGGGUGCGAGCGUUAUCCGGAAUUACUGGGCGUAAAGAGCUCGUAGGUGGUUUGUCGCGUCGGCUGUGAAAUUCCGGGGCUUAACUCCGGGCGUGCAGGCGAUACGGGCAUAACAUGAUUACUGUAGGGGAGACUGGAAUUCCUGGGGUAGCGGUGAAAUGCGCAGAUAUCAGGAGGAACACCGGUGGCGAAGGCGGGUCUCUGGGCAAAAACUGACGCUGAGGCGCGAAAGCAUGGGUAGCGAACAGGAUUAGAUACCCUGGUAGUCCAUGCCGUAAACGGUGGGCGCUAGGUGUAGGGGUAUUCCACGACUUCUGUGCCGUAGCUAACGCAUUAAGCGCGCCGCCUGGGGAGUACGGCCGCAAGGCUAAAACUCAAAGGAAUGGACGGGG
rnacentral:rRNA from 1 species